rnacentral:ncRNA from 2 species
UACUACCCAUGUUCCCCUGGUGGCGGCUGCAUCACUGCACCGCUGAAAAGGGAAUCCCGUGCAAAUCGGGAGCGCUGGGCCGGCGCUGUAAACAGGGACUGCAACCGCAUUUUGUCACUGUCCGGAAUUUUAGGAUGGGAAGGCGCGGCCAGCGGGAUGAUCUGUGAGUCAGAAGACCUGCCAGGGAACAAAUAUCAGA